rnacentral:rRNA from 1 species
UGGGGAAUAUUGGGCAAUGGGCGGAAGCCUGACCCAGCGACGCCGCGUGGGGGAAGAAGUCUUUCGGGAUGUAAACCCUUGUUGUACGGGACGAAGGAAGUGACGGUACCGUACGAGGAAGCCCCGGCAAACUACGUGCCAGCAGCCGCGGUAAUACGUAGGGGGCGAGCGUUGUCCGGAAUCACUGGGCGUAAAGCGCACGUAGGCGGGCUGUAAAGUCGGCCGUGAAAGGCAUGGGCUCAACCUGUGCAGUUCGGUUGAUACUGGCUGUCUGGAGUAUAGGAGAGGGAACUGGAAGUCACGGUGUAGCGGUGAUAUGCGUAGGUAUCUGUAGGAACACCAGUGGCGAAGGCGGGUUCCUGGCCCAUGACUGACGCUGAGGUGCGAAUGCCGGGGGAGCGAACG